rnacentral:lncRNA from 1 species
AGAAAGUGCAAUUACACAAUGAAAAGGGGCAAGCACACUGCAUAAAGAUGUAGAUGAGCUAAAGCUACAUGGAAGAGAUGGGACAGCAUGCCAUGGGGGGAGCAGCCCAGCAGGGGAGCCAGGCAGCUGUCUCCUGACUACUUUCUUGACUGGAAAACAUGGGAUGCCUCAGAAUGCUCCAUAUCUUUGUAAGAUGCUUAUUUUGCCUGCAAAAGAAAGUCAUGUGUCUGGAAUAAUAACAUGAAAUGAUAUGAGCAGUGGAGAUUCAAGAAAUUACUCUUCAAAAAAAGUCUAUAGACAUGGUCUCAGGAAAGCUAAAUGCCAAGCAUUAGCAUGAAGAGGCUUCAGGAAAGGUGGGACCAGACAUUCAAAGAAUGUUAAGAAUUGGAUGGAAUGGUGAUAAUUUUAGCACUGAUGCUUAUUUGGAGUGAGGAAGAAAAACAUCUUAAGACAUCACUUGCUGCAAAAUAUUUGCCUCAUGACAGAAAGAAGAACGAAAGAAGAUCCACUGGCUCCCUUUUAGGAAACUUUCUGGAAGUACCAUUCAACGCAGCUACUCACACUUCAUUUGCCAGCACGUGAUUACAGAGCAACGAUGUUUGUGAAGUGAAAUCAUUCAAUGGUUCCCCGAGGAUGACUUCAAAUUCUGAAAAUAAAAUGCAGCAGACCAGAUCGUAACGUCAGAAUUCAUUUUGGCAACUCUUGGAAAAGAAGAUUCAUUGUUUUGGUUGGUUUGUAAAGCUCUAAUGGUAAACUUCUGUUGUUUUCUAAAGAAAAGGUGGGCCCUUAGAGCACAUAAUAAAUAGUAACAUCGAUUUCACCUUGAAAAUUGCUACAAAAGUAGUUUGACCCUCUGGACUGGGA